AUUGAACGCUGGCGGCAGGCUUAACACAUGCAAGUCGAGCGGGGGAGGUUGCUUCGGUAACUGACCUAGCGGCGGACGGGUGAGUAAUGCUUAGGAAUCUGCCUAUUAGUGGGGGACAACAUCUCGAAAGGGAUGCUAAUACCGCAUACGUCCUACGGGAGAAAGCAGGGGACCUUCGGGCCUUGCGCUAAUAGAUGAGCCUAAGUCGGAUUAGCUAGUUGGUGGGGUAAAGGCCUACCAAGGCGACGAUCUGUAGCGGGUCUGAGAGGAUGAUCCGCCACACUGGGGCUGAGACACGGCCAAGACUCCUACGGGAGGCAGCAGUGGGGAAUAUUGGACAAUGGGGGGAACCCUGAUCCAGCCAUGCCGCGUGUGUGAAGGAGGCCUUUUGGUUGUAAAGCACUUUAAGCGAGGAGGAGGCUACUGGUAUUAAUACUACCGGAUAGUGGACGUUACUCGCAGAAUAAGCACCGGCUAACUCUGUGCCAGCAGCCGCGGUAAGAC
rnacentral:rRNA from 1 species